rnacentral:rRNA from 1 species
GACGAACGCUGGCGGCGUGCUUAACACAUGCAAGUCGAACGGAAAGGCCCUGCGUUUGUGGGGUGCUCGAGUGGCGAACGGGUGAGUAACACGUGAGUAACCUGCCCUUGACUUUGGGAUAACUUCAGGAAACUGGGGCUAAUACCGGAUAGGAGCUCCUGCUGCAUGGAGGGGGUGGGAAAGUUUCGGCGGUUGGGGAUGGACUUGCGGCUUAUCAGCUUGUUGGUGGGGUAGUGGCUUACCAAGGCUUUGACGGGUAGCCGGCCUGAGAGGGUGACCGGCCACCUUGGGCCUGCGAUACGGCGCAGUCUCCUACGGGAGGCAGCAGUGGGGAAUAUUGCACAAUGGGCCGAAGCCUGAUGCAGCAACGCCGCGUUCGUGAUGACGGCCUUCUGGUUGUAAACCGCUUUCGCCUGUGACGAAGCGUGAGUGACGGUACUGGGUAAAGAAGCACCGGCUAACUACGUG